rnacentral:lncRNA from 1 species
UUGACCCUCGAAGGUCAACAUUAAACCGUCCUGGUAGAGAUUGGCUACACCGGCCCUGUUCGAAAAGAUGAAAUUACCAAAGAGCGAGCGAAAAGGAGACGGAAAGAAUCGAAGAACUUUUGAGAGAGUGAGAAAGAAGAUCCGAGAAAAAGAAAGAAGAGGAGAAAGAAAUGAGUUUGAAAAGGGUGAAGAAGCGAAAUGCUCAUAGACCG